CCUACGGGAGGCAGCAGUGAGGAAUAUUGGUCAAUGGACGAGAGUCUGAACCAGCCAAGUAGCGUGAAGGAUGACUGCCCUAUGGGUUGUAAACUUCUUUUAUAUGGGAAUAAAAUGUUCCACGUGUGGGAUUUUGUAUGUACCAUAUGAAUAAGGAUCGGCUAACUCCGUGCCAGCAGCCGCGGUAAUACGGAGGAGCCGAGCGUUAUCCGGAUUUAUUGGGUUUAAAGGGAGCGUAGGUGGAUUGUUAAGUCAGUUGUGAAAGUUUGCGGCUCAACCGUAAAAUUGCAGUUGAAACUGGCAGUCUGGAGUACAGUAGAGGUGGGCGGAAGUCGUGGUGUCGCGGUGAAAUGCUUAGAUAUCACGAAGAACUCCGAUUGCGAAGGCAGCUCACUGGACUGCAACGGACACUGAGGCUCGAAAGUGUGGGUAUCAAACAGGAUUAGAUACCCGGGUAGUC
rnacentral:rRNA from 1 species